ACUAACAAGGAUUCCCCUAGUAACGGCGAGUGAAGCGGGAUGAGCUCAAAUUUAAAAUCUGGCAGUCUAAGAUUGUCCGAGUUGUAGUCUAGAGAAGCGUUUUCCGCGUAGGCCUGUGUACAAGUCCCUUGGAAUAGGGCGUCAUAGAGGGUGAGAAUCCCGUCCUUGACACAGAUCAUCUAUGCUCUGCGAUGCGCUCUCGAAGAGUCGAGUUGUUUGGGAAUGCAGCUCAAAAUGGGUGGUAAAUUCCAUCUAAAGCUAAAUAUUGGCGAGAGACCGAUAGCGAACAAGUACCGUGAGGGAAAGAUGAAAAGCACUUUGGAAAGAGAGUUAAACAGUACGUGAAAUUGUUGAAAGGGAAACGAUUGAAGUCAGUCAUGUGGUUUGAGGUUCAGCCGGUUCUGCCGGUGUAUUCCUCAGACUACAGGCCAGCAUCAGUUUCGACCGGUGGAAAAAGUUGGAGGGAACGUGGCAUCCUCGGAUGUGUUAUAGCCCUCUUUCACAUGCAUCGGACGGGACUGAGGAACGCAGCGUGCCUUUAUGGUCGGUCUUCGGACACGAACGCGCUUAGGAUGCUGGCAUAAUGGCUUUAAAC
rnacentral:rRNA from 1 species